AACGCACAUUGCGCCCGCUGGUAUUCCGGCGGGCAUGCCUGUUCGAGCGUCAUUUCAACCCUCAAGCCCCCGGGUUUGGUGUUGGGGAUCGGCUCUGCCUUCUGGCGGUGCCGCCCCCGAAAUACAUUGGCGGUCUCGCUGCAGCCUCCAUUGCGUAGUAGCUAACACCUCGCAACUGGAACGCGGCGCGGCCAUGCCGUAAAACCCCAACUUCUGAAUGUUGACCUCGGAUCAGGUAGGAAUACCCGCUGAACUUAA
rnacentral:misc_RNA from 2 species